ACGCCGCGUGAGCGAUGAAGGCUUUGGGUCGUAAAGCUCUGUCCUAGGGGAAGAAAAAAAUGACGGUACCCUAGGAGGAAGCCCCGGCUAACUACGUGCCAGCAGCCGCGGUAAUACGUAGGGGGCAAGCGUUAUCCGGAAUUAUUGGGCGUAAAGAGUGCGUAGGUGGCCAUAUAAGCGUGGGGUGAAAGGCAAUAGCUCAACUAUUGUAAGCCUUGCGAACUGUAUGGCUUGAGUGCAGGAGAGGAAAGUGGAAUUCCUAGUGUAGCGGUGAAAUGCGUAGAUAUUAGGAGGAACACCAGUGGCGAAGGCGACUUUCUGGACUGUAACUGACACUGAGGCACGAAAGCGUGGGGAGCAACAGGAUUAGAUACCCUGGGUAGUCCACGCCGUAAACGAUGACACUAGGUGUCGGGGUCGCAAGACUUCGGUGCCGCA
rnacentral:rRNA from 1 species